rnacentral:tRNA from 5 species
CGGGGCAUAGCGCAGUCUGGUAGCGCACCUGCUUUGGGAGCAGGGGGUCGCAGGUUCGAAUCCUGCUGCCCCGACCA